rnacentral:rRNA from 1 species
AGCUAGCCAUGCAGUCUCAGUACGAGCUGACUUAAAGUGAAACCGCAAAAGGCUCAGUAAACCGGUCAUAGUUUACCGGAUAUAUGCCGCUCACGUGGAUAACUGUGGUAAUUCUAGAGCUAAUACAUGCAACCAAGUCCCGACCAGCGAUGGAAAGGACGCUUUUAUUGGAUCAAAACCAUUCGCCCGGCUCGGCCGGGCGUCUGCUUGAUGACUCUAGAUAACACCACAGAUCGCACGGUCACAGUACCGGCGACGUAUCCGUCAAAUGUCUGACUUAUCAGCUGUCGAUGGUAGACUCUGUGUCUACCAUGGCGCUCACGGGUAACGGGGAAUCAGGGUUCGAUUCCGGAGAGGGAGCCUGAGAAACGGCUACCACAUCCAAGGAAGGCAGCAGGCACGCAAAUUACCCACUCCCGGCACGGGGAGGUAGUGACAAAAAAUAACGAUACGGGACUCAUCCGAGGCCCCGUAAUCGGAAUGAGAACACCCUAAAUCCUUUAACGAGGAUCUAUUGGAGGGCAAGUCUGGUGCCAGCAGCCGCGGUAAUUCCAGCUCCAAUAGCGUAUAUUAAAGUUGUUGCGGUUAAAAAGCUC